rnacentral:lncRNA from 1 species
AAAGAACUGAGUGAAAAUGCGGGUGAAGAAGCUCAAGUUGCGAGAGACGUUGUAUGCCAUGUCAGGAGGAAGAGGCUUCACCAAAGUGUCUAUAGUGAAUACUCUUUGAAGGAACUGUAAUAGAAAGGCAGACUUUACAGCUUAGUAAAAAAAUCGUCAAGAUAUAAGAUUCUUAGUCUGAGGUUACAAUCUAAAAAAAUGGAAAACAACGAUAUCCAGCAAUUGCUUCUCUAUGUACACCCUGUGAAUGCAUAAAGAAGGUUGGAGAUGAAUUGAAUGUGUCAUGAUUCAGAUUCUAUAAUAAACUGUUUCAAAACCACGGAUAAUCAGAAAUAACCAUUCAUAUAAAUAAGCAGAAAGGUCUGAAAAAACCAUCUGAACAGAAGUAGCUUUCAAGUAUUUCCCUAACCAAGAUAUAAGUAGUCUACACCCAAUAUUACAUAGAGAAGUUCACAAACCUGACCAAGCACCUAUUCAUUAACUCUCCAGCACUACGAAAGAUAGUAUUCGUGAAAAAUUUAAGUAUAUCACCAAGAAGAAGAAAGGUUUACAUCAAAACUACACAGUUUAGUUCCACUAAAGCACACCACCCGCUCUUAACAUAAUGCAAAGCAUAAAACAAUAAUAAGAAUCCGUAAUAUAAGAUUCUAACCAAGCCUGUAUAUGAACAGAGAGAGUGAGAAAAAACCAUUCUUUUCAGCUAAAUUUACUUCUUCUCAAACUUCACAUAAGGUAA